UCCCUCUUUCUCUCUUUUUCUCCCCCUGGUUACCUUCUUCUCUCUUGUGUCAGUUUGUGCCAGUCCGAUCUAGUAUGGACCUGUGCCGAUUCGUACUGCCAGCUGGCCAGCACAGAUGUCUAUAUCAAGUCCACCAACCUUGGUUCCAGUAUUUCCUUUUUAAGUAUAUGUCAUACUUCUUUUUUCUAACUAGAAAAGAAUAAAAUCCCAUUCGGAAGUAUAUGUCAUAGCGAUACACAUGACACACAUUUACAUGUUCCUUAGGGAAUUAUACCAUUUUUGUUUUCCUUAAGGCACUACCCUUAACCUGAAGUCCAUCUAAAUUUGGGCUCUAGGUCCAAUUAUAAAAUUGUCCAGGUUUUAAAACAAAAUUCAUUUAUUUGAAACCAUGAUCUUAAUCCUGUAAGCAUUCAUUCAAUAGGAUCACAUAAACAUGUUUGUUUUGGACUGCCACAUUUGAAUUCAUUAGGCUUCUAAAUUUAAAUUUAUACCAAUCAGACAUAAAUCACUAAAUUUUACAUGGUAUUCUUAACCUAUGCAUAGUUCUUAAGGGCCUACCCUUAAAUUCAUAUGCGGUUAAGGUAUAUGGGCCACAUACAUGUGCAUAAGCAUAUCCAUGUGCAUGUGUUAAUUUGAGGAUCCAUCAAAACAAUUUUAUUUCUAGUGAUUAAUGUCCACAUUGAGGCUUUAAGUGACCACAUGUAUGUUAAGGGACCCAUAACACAUUUAUAAUCUUUAAAGGCUAUAGACUCUAC
rnacentral:lncRNA from 1 species